rnacentral:tRNA from 1 species
GCGGCCAUGGCGGAAUUGGUAGACGCGCUAGCUUGAGGUGCUAGUGCCGCAAGGCGUGGAAGUUCGAGUCUUCUUGGCCGCACCA